GGCGUGUGCUUAGAGCAGGUGCCCUGGAGAAUGUCUUCUCUGCUCACAGAACACCCAAGAGGAAUCUGGUCCAUCAUAAGGAGAGCACAGCACUGUGUCCUCCCUGUGACUUGAUGCCCUACAUGU
rnacentral:snoRNA from 1 species